rnacentral:rRNA from 1 species
AAUAGAUACCCAGGUAGUCCACGCCGUAAACGAUGAGUGCUAAGUGUUAGAGGGUUUCCGCCCUUUAGUGCUGCAGCUAACGCAUUAAGCACUCCGCCUGGGGAGUACGGUCGCAAGACUGAAACUCAAAGGAAUUGACGGGGGCCCGCACAAGCGGUGGAGCAUGUGGUUUAAUUCGAAGCAACGCGAAGAACCUUACCAGGUCUUGACAUCCUCUGACAACUCUAGAGAUAGAGCGUUCCCCUUCGGGGGACAGAGUGACAGGUGGUGCAUGGUUGUCGUCAGCUCGUGUCGUGAGAUGUUGGGUUAAGUCCCGCAACGAGCGCAACCCUUGAUCUUAGUUGCCAGCAUUUAGUUGGGCACUCUAAGGUGACUGCCGGUGACAAACCGGAGGAAGGUGGGGAUGACGUCAAAUCAUCAUGCCCCUUAUGACCUGGGCUACACACGUGCUACAAUGGAUGGUACAAAGGGCUGCAAGGCCGCGAGGUCAAGCCAAUCCCAUAAAACCAUUCUCAGUUCGGAUUGU